rnacentral:lncRNA from 10 species
AGCAGAGGAAACUGGGUGCUCACGCCCUGAGGCAGGGGGAGCUGGGAGUCUGUGAGGAACAGAACAAAGUGUUUCUCACAUCCAACCUCCUCUCUCCUCACCUCUGCUACCAUCCUGCUUCUGGCCUCUGAUCCAGUCUCUUGGCCCCUUUCCUCAGUUCCUUUGAACCCAUAUUACUGGUUGCUACCAGGUUAAUUGGUGUAAAAUAUAGCUCUGAUUGUAACACUCAUCCAGAUGCAGCUGUGUUUCCCAAUGGCCCCCUGAAAGAAGGCUUUGUGUGCUGUGACCCUGUUGUUCCCAUGUUUCCCACCAUUUUCCUGUGUGUGGCCUCAAUUUUAGCCACACUAGGCACUCACCCUCCUGCAAACAUGCCUUGGGAUUUUCUACUUUGGCACCUAUGCUCUUGUCUGAAGUCACCCCACUUUGCCUUAGCCUCCUCCAGUACAAGCACUGAAGCCCUUGAGUCUGGAGCUCAGGAGAAUGACCUGGGCUAGGGCCAUACAUUUGGAGACAUAGGAUAGAGAUGGGAUUUCAAGCUGGGAGGAUGAAGGAGAUGCCCAUGGGAUUCAGUGUGGGUUGACUAGAGAUGACGACCAAGGACAGAGCCCUGGAUUCUCCAGCUAGGAUUUGAUCUCUCAGCAGCCUUCUCUGUGCAGGGCUCCCUAAACUUCCAUCUAGAAUUCAAAGUCCAAGGAGAGAACCAUGAGUUUCUCCAGGCAGGACCACCCUAUCUGUUUCUGGGGGAUGUCUUGAUGCAUAGGCUGAUGACUCCAAGCUGGAAUGAAGCUCUACUUUGGGUAAUGGUGAGGGAAACCAACCUUCUCCUCAGCCAACAGAAUUUUGUGCCACAUAUUCUAAAAGUCAAUAACUCAAGUAACAAAUAUCUAUAACGUUUUGUUCUCUCAAUGUCAAACUCCCUCUUUGUUCUUCUGAACAAAUACUGGCACCUUCUUUCUUUUCAAACUUCUCUGUCUCUCAUCUAUUUAUGAAUUUCCUUUCAGUUGCAUUCUUUACAUUGUAUCUAAGACUUCCCUGUGUUUUAAACACGUAGAUUUGAAUCUCUUUCCAAGUACAUGUUUUGCCUUGUUUACUAUCAUACCAGGUGUACCAAAUGUAUAUUAGCUAUCUUUUGGAGCUUGUUUACUUGGAGCACAAGGCCUGACUCACCUAUUGAGCCCAACGCAAUGACUGGAAAAGUACAUAUGUGGGGAAUCUUAAGUUGUUCCCAUAGGAAA